rnacentral:rRNA from 1 species
GGACUCCUAGGGGGGCAGCAGUGAGGAAUAUUGGUCAAUGGGCGAGAGCCUGAACCAGCCAAGUCGCGUGAGGGAAGACGGUCCUAUGGAUUGUAAACCUCUUUUGCCGGGGAGCAAAAAGCGGUACGUGUACCGCAUCGAGAGUACCCGGAGAAAAAGCAUCGGCUAACUCCGUGCCAGCAGCCGCGGUAAUACGGAGGAUGCGAGCGUUAUCCGGAUUUAUUGGGUUUAAAGGGUGCGUAGGCGGAAUAUCAAGUCAGCGGUAAACAUUCGGGGCUCAACCCGGUCGUGCCGUUGAAACUGAU